UCCAAAUGGCGUUUCGUUUUC
rnacentral:piRNA from 1 species